rnacentral:rRNA from 1 species
GACGAACGCUGGCGGCGUGCCUAAUACAUGCAAGUCGAACGAAGAUGUCUUCGGACAUCUUAGUGGCGAACGGGUGAGUAAUACGUAAGCAACCUGCCCACAAGGACCGGGAUAACUGCUGGAAACGGUAGCUAAGACCGGAUAGGUAUACUUAAGGCAUCUUUGGUAUAUUAAAGGUUAGAAACACAAGUGGAUGGGCUUACGGCGCAUUAGCUAGUUGGUGAGGUAAUGGCCCACCAAGGCGACGAUCAGUAGCCGGCCUGAGAGGGUGAACGGCCACAUUGGGACUGAGACACGGCCCAGACUCCUACGGGAGGCAGCAGUGGGGAAUAUUGCACAAUGGAGGAAACUCUGAUGCAGCGACGCCGCGUGAGUGAAGAAGUAGUUCGCUAUGUAAAGCUCUAUCAGCAGGGAAGAUAGUGACGGUACCUGACUAAGAAGCUCCGGCUAAAUACGUG